rnacentral:rRNA from 1 species
UGCUGGAGGUCCGAACCCACACCUGUUGAAAAAGGUCGGGAUGAGUUGUGCCUAGGGGUGAAAGGCCAAUCAAACUCGGAGAUAGCUGGUUCUCCGCGAAAUCUAUUUAGGUAGAGCGUCAUCCGAAUACCCCGGGGGGUAGAGCACUGGAUGGGUAAUGGGGCCCCACAGGCUUACUGAUCCUAACCAAACUCCGAAUACCCGGGAGUACUAGAUGGCAGACAGACGGCGGAUGCUAACGUCCGUCGUCGAGAGGGAAACAACCCUGACCUCCAGCUAAGGCCCCCAAUUCACGGCUAAGUGGGAAAAGCAGGUGGGACGACCAAAACAACCAGGAGGUUGGCUUAGAAAGCAGCCAUCCUUUAAAGAUAGCGUAACAGCUCACUGGUCUAGAUAAGUUGUCCUGCGGCGAAGAUAGUAACGGGAA